GGAGUGGCGAAAAUGCCCUCCAAAUUUUUUCCCAUCAGCUGUAACUUUUAGCUUUUUCUACAGUACAAUGACGAUUUUACCCUUGGAAACCACGCGUCUGUCAUCAGUGGUUCUUCCGCUCCAGUUCUACUCUGCCUUUUCUUUGGGUUCCCGUCUCUCUCUCUCUCUCUCUCUCUCUCUCUCUCACCAUUUUCAGAUUUUCCUUAUUUUGGAGCCUAGGUUUUUUCUCUCUCCCACGCCUUCGUUGUUAUCGCUAUCCGUCCUUCGCGUCUAUGUCUCGCCGAUUAUUCACGGCCGUUUUCUUCUCGGAAAACUAACGAUCUCUGGUGAGUUUUUUGCGUUUCUUGCCGUGUCUAAUUUCAAUUUUUUUUUUUCGUUGUUUGGGUGUGUGUGGCUUUGCGAUGCGGUUUGAUUUUUGGUUUCAGGAAAAGUUAUCAAUGCGAUCUAAGGUUUUUUGCAAAAGAAGUUGUUUGAAUUUUGGCCUUUCUGUCUGCAACCUGGCAAGCUGUUUGCGAUCAAGAUCAAUCCUGCAAACCGCUUCAAUAACAUGUCUUGGAACUCAACUGGCCACUAUCAGCGCAGUCUCCAUAUUCUUGGUUGUUCUAGACUUUGUCAACAGUGCAGAGUUGUCUUCGGCAGAGCUCGAUAACAACUCUAGGUAAACAAGAGCUACUAGACUAUUAUGCACAGGGGAAUGGAAGGAAAGUAAAAAUUCAGGCUUUUAAUACAAAUUGGAAAUUGAGCGACACUAAACAAAAGAAAAUCAAGGAGGCCUGCAACUUCGUAUGCAGUCCACCACUGCAAAUCAGUCUGGAAACUGGAAAAUUCAAAGGUCAUAUUUUUCACUUUCUGGAUGUGCAAAGUUUGGAUAGUACACAUCACCGGGCCAAACCUUUCUCAGGAAUGUCAUUCUAAAAGGAUAUUGGCAGGAGGGGGUGGAAUGUCAUUCUAAGAUAUAUAUAUAUAUAUCAGCAGCAAGGGUGUGGAAGCUCACACGCUCAGAUUUCAACGCGUUUCGAAGGUGGAAAUGACAAGAAUGUGCAGUGUGGACCUCCAAUUUCUAGUGCUAUGAUGCAUGAGGACUGCCAAAGUGAGAAUACUGGUUAGUUGUCAUCAAGCAGCCCUUGUAGAUGUGUAUUUUGUUUAUAUAUUGCUAGUUUAACCAUUAGUACGUUUGACUUGGGGAUACAAGCUUGGAUAUGUUAUAUUUUGUUGUAUAUAGAGAAUCCUGGGUAUGUCCAGCAUAGGAUAACAUGUAUUUUUUGGUUUAACAUUUGGAUGGGUUGUAUUGUUAGGUUGCAUGAAUCGGUCUUAGCCGAGAACAUGGGUUAUGUAAUAUAUUAACUUCACUAUUUUAGUGCUAAUGUUGAUUUAUGUUUAGUUUGUAA